rnacentral:misc_RNA from 2 species
AAUUCUCAAUCCUGUUUAGCUCUUGCAGCUGAUCAGGCUUGGAUUGUGGGAGGUUUCUGCAGGCUUCACUCCAGAAGUCUGCUCUCCUGAAAUACAUUAGCGUAGAACCUCUUUGCGGUAUUUUGGUGUGAUAAUUAUCUAUGCCAUGUCUGCGAAGUGAAGGUUUGGCUUCCAAUGGUCUCGGCGAGACAAAAUUCAUGACCUU